UUUCGAUACGUCACUAAGUUACCUUGAUGUUUUUUGAAAAUGAGCAGGUUCUUCAUAAAUGUGAAACUUGAUAGAUAGCGAGUAUUUGCGAUAGCUAUUUAUACGUACGGCAAUCGAAAGAAGACACGGACGUAAACAGGAUCGAGAAACAAGAAAAAUGGUUGUUUUAUAUCACCACACUGAUGCGGAAUCGGCCCAAAUAAUCCUAGAGUCCCUACUACUGAAAAAGGCCAAAGGUGCAUUUGGGACUGGGGUGUACCUCACCAAAAUGGGCCCUGAUUCGUCAUUGAAAAAGCUUCUUGUGAAUAACUACGAUGACGACGUGUCAAAAGCUAAGAUGAAGAAGCUGAUUAACCCUUUGCAUGCUGGGAAAUUUGUCGUCUGCUAAAAUGUCGUCUGCAGAAUUUCUAAAAUUAGCAUUUUCUUCGAUUUUUUUCAAAGAAUACUAUCAAAA